rnacentral:lncRNA from 1 species
GGGAAAGAAGGAAUUCAUUUAGCCCAAGUAUUCUGAAGGCUUUUCUCUUAGCUAGUGGACCGGAUGAGAGCUUAAACACUUCUAAGAAUUUUCCUUCUCCUAGAUACACAUCCUAAAUUUAAGGGAGGUGGAGAGUCCACUCCUACAGCUUGGUUCUAAAACAACGGCAAAAGCUGCUGUCUUACAAAGAAUGAAAACAGAGUCACUGAAGUCUCUCGCUCCCAUCACACACUCAGCAGACCCCUGACAUCUGCAUACUCUUCACAGAAGAACAGAUCUGGCUACUGUGGCAUACUUCAUCUGUAUCGUACAAAUGAAAAAAUGGUUCAGGACUCCGGGAAAGCUUGGAGUUUAAGGAUGAUUUUGAUUUAAAUACCCAGGCAUAAUCAGGCCCAGGUAGAGAUUUAAUGAAGCAUAUUCAAACUUUGAAAAACAUCCAGCAGCUGCUAGAGC